GGGGGUGUAGCUCAGUGGUAAAGCGUUUGACUGCAGAUCAAAACGUCUCUGGUUCAAAUCCAGAUGCUCCCU